UAAGUUAUACUUUUAGUUCAUGUUGCAUAAUUAUUAAUAAUUUUAAUUUAGUAGUGAAAUGUUAAACGAUUUAAAAGAUAUCUAGUUUCUUUAGAAAUGAAUUUAAUUCAUUAUUUAAAUAAUUUAAUUUAAAAAUUGUUUUAUAUUAAAUUUAUUUAAAUAUAAGUAUUUUGGGGAUAAACUUAAAAUAUUAAUUAAUAAUAAAAGUUUUAAAUUGAUUAUAAAAAUAUUUAUAGUAAUAGAAAUUUUUAUUAAGUAUUUCAUAAUUUAUAAAUUUAUUAAAUUUGAUUUAUAAAUUUUAUUUUAAUUUAUAUAAAGAAUUUUAUUUAAUUUUAAAUAUAUAGUUAUAAUGAUUAUAUUAGUAAAUAUUAUUUUAUAGAAUAAUAAAUAAGUUAAAUAUAUUAUUAAAGAACUCGACAAAAAUUUUAUUCACCUGUUUAUCAAAAACAUCGUUUGUAGAUAAAAAUUAUAAAUUUACUCUGCCCAAUGAAUUUAAUUUUAAUGGCUGCGGUAUACUGACUGUACAAAGGUAGCAAAAUCAAUUGUUUUUUAAUUGAAAACUGGAAUGAAAGAGUUGAUGAAAUAAAAAUUGUUUCAAUAAUAAUGUUUGAAUUUAAAUUUUAAGUUAAAAUGCUUAAAUAUAUUUAUUAGACGAGAAGACCCUAUAGAAUUUUAUAAAAUUUGAGUAUAACAAUUUUUUUUGUAAAUUAGGAUUUUAUAUUUAAUUAUAUUUAGUUGGGAGGAUUAUAAAAUUUA
rnacentral:rRNA from 1 species